rnacentral:lncRNA from 1 species
CUUGCUCUUAAUCCAUUUAACAUAAUCGAGAUCCCUACACUUCCUCUUUCUCAUUUUUUCUAUUUGAAGACAUCUUUCACACCUUCUUUUAUCCCCAAUUUAUAGUAUAAAUUAUCAUAUGCCUUAAGCUGAGCCUCACUACUUUCUUAGUGUGCAAUUUGGCAUUUUUAUAUUCUUCUAAAUUUUUUGAUCAUUUCUAUUCCAAUGUUAAGCUUUGUAACAUGAUCAUUUUUCACUAAUAGCCUUUUGAACCUCAUCACUUCCCCACCAAGUCUCUUUAUCUAAAUGUUUUUUUCCCUCUAGAUUCUCCUAAAACUUAUUUUUCCACUUUCUUUAUUCAAUCAACCGUCUCAUUCCACAUAUCAUUAAAUUCCACCACCUAGUUUCUCUCUUUCUAAAUUCCACCACCUAGUUCUUAGACAUUUAUUAAUUUUAUGCAAACAUCUAUAACCAUGAGCCCACGUCGCAUGGUCAAACUCUAUCCUAAGAUAACCUUACGGUCUUUACUUAA